AGAGAGGCUUCCACGAUGGUUACCGUCUGGGGGCCUUUUUCUUUUGC
rfam:Sinorhizobium fredii NGR234 plasmid pNGR234a, complete sequence.